UAGAAGAAGAAAAAGAAGAAAAAAAUAAUAGUUUCCCCUGCAGCACUGAUGAGCAAUUCAGUACAACCAUUCAUGAUUUGCCUAUCUCCUCUCACUGGACAUUCCAGAAACAGUGUAACCACUACCUCUGAUUCUUCGGUGUAACUUGGGUAUUACUUGAUCCUUUUCCCAGGAUACGUUAGAUCAAGGGGCAGUAGCCAUUAACAGCCUUUGAAUAAUUCACAACAGCAUGAUGGCAAUGUCAAACUGAGAACAGGUUCCAUCUCAGCUCUCUGAAAGGCAAAAUCCCCAUACUUAACAUAAAGGUCCCCAUUACUUUUCCAAUCAGUGCCAUUUGAAUGACUCUUCCAUAUUCCGUCUGCUGCAUUGAACUGCAUUUCUAGAAAUCUGCAUCUAGUCACCACUGCUACUUCCCCAUCUCUUCUGGUCUCUGCCAAAUGGUUUUUGAAUGUAUGGCAGAGUUUCUUUCACUUCUCCACUGAUUUCUGGGGCAGGAGAGUGGGAGGGAGGAGGAAUAGCCUCCACGCCUCCAACCCUGAAUUCUCGCACUCACGCAUCGCAAAGGCCAUUGAUCUGGUCUGCAAGGUUCAGGGGCUGGGGCCGGUGUCAGCCUUUCAUUUCCAGUUACAGAGAGCUUCAUUAUUGCUGAAGGCCUGAUUCUUCUUGUCUUGGAGCUGAGCUUCAGAGACUUCCUGGAUAACAUGGAGAUUGUAAAAAAUCCAAAAUAGAUUGGGAGGGAAGACUGCAUUCAUGUGAAACAUGGAAGCUCUGUUCCAAGAUCAGAGGUGAGUUUUAAAGGGUCAGGAUCUGCUGGUUUUUUAGGAUGGCCUUAAGCUUUACUUUGGAGAGAUGCAACUUGAAGAAGAGCGUGUCAAGCUAAUUAAAAAAAAAAAAAAUCAACUCCUUAAUUCACAAACUUUAAAACCUAUUUUAAUUAAACUCAUAUAACUUUCCUUCUAGCCCUAGCUGUUUUUUCUUUUAAUUUCAUAUCAUUAAAUAAUGAGUAUUUUCUAUGUACCCAACAGUACACAUUUUUUCCCUUUCACGACUAUUUCCUUUCUCCACCUAGAUUAUUGUGAAAUCUUUUAAAUAUUCUGUGUUCUUAGCACAGUGGGCUGUAAACCUGUUUUAUCUCUAGCUUUUACUAGUCUGCUGCAGCUUGGUAGAUCAAUCUUGAUACUAAAGUCCAUUAGUUUUAAGACAUUUACAUGAGGUUGUGGAGGUAGACACAAGUUGUUGGAAUUGUAUUGGUGGAACAACCUUUUCUAGCAUUUCUGAGUUAUUAAAAGCAGCAAAAAUGAAUACUGCUAAAGGAUUUUAUUCAUGGUACUAAAUCAAUAGUAACAGUAAUAGUUUAAUGCUAAUAAAAUGACAGAUACAAUUAAUAGUUGAAAAAUA
rnacentral:lncRNA from 1 species